GCGGCAAACGGGUGAGUAAUAUCUGGGAAUCUACCCAAAAGAGGGGGAUAACUACUAGAAAUGGUAGCUAAUACCGCAUAAAGUUCUAGAACCAAAGUAGGGGACCAUUAUAGGCCUUAUGCUUUUGGAUGAGCCCAGAAGAGAUUAGCUUGUUGGUAAGGUAAAAGCUUACCAAGGCAACGAUCUCUAGCUGGUCUGAGAGGAUAACCAGCCACACUGGAACUGAGACACGGUCCAGACUCCUACGGGAGGCAGCAGUGGGGAAUAUUGCACAAUGGGCGAAAGCCUGAUGCAGCUAUGCCGCGUGUAUGAAGAAGGCCUUAGGGUUGUAAAGUACUUUCAGCGGGGAGGAAAAAAAUAAAACUAAUAAUUUUAU
rnacentral:rRNA from 1 species